rnacentral:rRNA from 1 species
UACGUAGGGGGCAAGCGUUGUCCGGAUUCAUUGGGCGUAAAGAGCGUGUAGGCGGCCAGGUAGGUCGGUUGUGAAAACUGGAGGCUCAACCUUCAGAGGUCGACCGAAACCAUCUGGCUAGAGUCCGGGAGAGGAGAGUGGAAUUCCUGGUGUAGCGGUGAAAUGCGCAGAUAUCAGGAAGAACACCCGUGGCGAAGGCGGCCGGCUGGGCCGAUCCUGACGCUGAGGUGCGAAGGCGUGGGGAGCGAACGGG